AUAUUUGUUAUGAAUAGAACAUAAGCAAAACCAAAUUUAGAGGGGAAAUAUGUUGCUCUUCAAUAACAUGAAGAGUCGCAUAAUAUGCUUCUAUCUGACAUUUUACAUUAGAUACUAUUCAUUUAAAUCAAUAAUGUAUAUUUUUCUGAAUCGUUCAUGUGAAAGAAAACAUAAAAUGCAUAGCCAGCCAGUCGCUUUUGACCGUCCGUCACUGCGUCACUCCUCCCCCGGCCUGCUACUGCACAGUGCACUGCCAGAUGACAGUCUGCCUCAUGGACAGCAGCAGCUGAGCUCAGCCUCGUGUCUCUGGUGGCAUCAUCGGAAGGUAGCCUAGCUGGCCUGUUGAGUUGAGACCACCAGACUGCUAACCAACAGCAGCAUGGCACAAAAGUACGGAACAGGCAUCAACAACAGUCAGCGGUUGACAACCAAACGAGGCAGGACUCAGCUAGCGCUAUCAACCCGUUCCUUGACCAACAGAUAUAUCCCAGUCAAGAGCAGAGGGGCCCAAACAGUCACAUCUGUAUUUUUUCCCUUGGACCCUUCAGGGGGAUAGAAGACGAGGCUUCAUGAAAGAGUGGUACAGUACGCAUAAAUGGCGAGAAUACUCUCAGAGUAAAGACUCUGCCUACUGCUAUGCUUGCCGGCACUUCAGUCUCCCCCUCAGGUGAUUCAGUGUUUACAUCUGAAGAAUGGUUCAAAAAUGUGAAAAAAGCUACUUACAAAGAUGAAAAAAAAUUAGAAUCACAUACUAAUGCUAUGUUAGCAUGGGCAGAAUAUGAAAAGCCGACUGCAAGCAAACGCUCCCUCUCAGCCUCCUUAAAUGCAGAAUCUAAUAAAUUAGUGAGGGGAAAUAGAGAGUACAUUAAAACUGUUGGGAGAAACCCUGCUCCUCACAGCUACGCAAAACGUUGCACAGAGAGCACAUAAAGAAACGGCAGGUCAGAAUAAAAAGGACAUUUCCUCUCUGCUAUGGAACUGCUAGCCAAGCAUGAUCACACAGUCAAAAGAAAAAUGACAAGUCAAAGAAAUGCAACAUACUCUGGGCAUAGUACACAUAAAACAAAAUAAUUGCUUGCAUGGCUGAAAUGGUACGCACCUCAAUAAUUAGUGAAGUUGCACAAAGUGAGGCUUUCGGCAUUAUGGUUGACGAGACCAAAGACAUUGUCAAGAAGGAACAGAUGUCCUUUGUAAUUCGAUACUAUUACAAUGGGUCAAUAUGUGAAAGUUUCCUCACCUUUGAAGCAGCAGAGCGCCAGGAUGCUACAGCACUUUCACAGAAAAUUUUACAAAUACUGCAGAAGUAUGGCCUUGACUACAGAAACCACCUAGUAGGGCAAGCAUAUGAUAGUGCCUCUGUCAUGAGUGGAAAGGACACAGGUGUGCAAGCACGCAUUAAAUCAGAGGCCCCAUUAGCUUUUUAUGUUCACUGAAAUGCACAUUGCUUAAAUGUAGUAUUAGUUUGACAGUGUAAAAUGCAUCCCUGAAGCCUAUUGUUUCUUUUCUAUUUUGCAGAAACUGUAUGUCUUUGUGUCAGGGUCAUAUGUGCACCAAAUGUGGCUAGAGGUACAAAGGGAGAUGUUUCAGGGGGCCCCGAGAGAGUUACAACAGCUGAUAGAAACACGGUGGGCAUGUAGGUACAAUGCUUGCAAGACCGCGAGGGACAGACUGCCAGCCAUCAUACGUCUACCGAAAUAAAUAUCUGAAGAGAGAAAUGGAGACAGAGCUGUAGAGGCAAGAGGUCUAUAAGCCCAAAUAUAUCUAAAGUUUGUUGGCCUCCUUGUAACAUUCACCAAUGUUUUUGGUGAGAUAAAACAUCUGUCAGAUAUUUUACAGUCCCCACAAUUCAACUUGGGCACAUCAAGGGUAUUACAUUUCCACUCCAAUAGUUCAAAGACAGGUCAGCACAGAUAAGGAGUCAUUUCGGGCAGGUUCAUUCAUUCCAAUUGUUGAUGUGCUUCUCUCUGAGGUGAAGAGAAGAUUUUCUGAAGAAAAUUGUGUCAUAAUGCAAGGGAUACAAGCCUUGAAUCAGCAUGUGAGCGCUGUUUUUCUGUGCUAAAGUUAACACCCCCAAAUUGCUCAAUCGCUCGUCACUCAUUGUAUUUCUCAAGACAGUCUUGAUUAAGUGUAGAGUCAAGAAGGGCUAGUGCCAUAAAUCUUGAUGAUUUUGUGGAUGUGUUUGCCAAAAGACACAGCAACAGGUGAAUAAAGCUGUACUGAAAAGAAUGUAGCCUAAUAAAGCAGGGAUAUGAAUAGGUUGUGAGUAGGCUAUAGUAAAAUGUAUAUUGUUGUCCAUGAUUAUGCUUUUGUUUUUCCAUUUUGGGACAAAUAUAAUAUAAUAUUUUCGUUUAGAAAAAGACACAGCAACAGCCAAAUAAAGCUGUAUUGAAUAUAAUUGGAGGCCUCUGUGUGGUGUUUUUAAACUCGAGUA